AGACGGAGGGUGCAAGCGUUAAUCGGAAUUACUGGGCGUAAAGCGCUCGUAGGCGGCUUGUUAAGUCGGAUGUGAAAGCCCGGGGCUCAACCUGGGAACUGCAUUCGAUACUGGCAGGCUAGAGUAUAGUAGAGGCAAGUGGAAUUCCGGGUGUAGCGGUGAAAUGCGUAGAUAUCCGGAGGAACAUCAGUGGCGAAGGCGACUUGCUGGACUAAUACUGACGCUGAGGAGCGAAAGCGUGGGGAGCAAACGGGAUUAGAAACCCCGGUAGUCC
rnacentral:rRNA from 1 species